CAGCUUUCCUCUCUUCCUAUCUCGCUACCUUUCUAUUUAAGCCCCAGUCCUGCUCUGUUCUUCUCUCACUUUAUCUCUCUCAGUGCCUCAUUCCACUGUUCGCUCUCCUCCUGUUUUCUCUACCUUUUCUUUUCCGUUUUACCUUUAUCACAUUACCUUUAUGCUCCCUGUCUCUACCCAUAUCUCUUCUGCUCUCUCUUGCUCUGUUUCUCUAUCAUUUAAUCUCUCUCCCACCAUCGUCCAUGUCUUCAGUAACAGGACCUGGAUUAGCGAGGAAGGGCAACAAAUUUCUGCAACAUCCCACAGCCCCCAGCUGGAUGGAGACACUCUCUUUCAGAUCUCCCUUGAUUGGUUCACUGUAAUACAUCUGAAGGUCAGGAAGAAUUGACCGUUGCAGAGUUGACCAGCACCUAUUGACUACAAAUGAGAAGCUUAGCUGCAAGCAGGCGUCAGCCUGGGAAGGAACCCAUGUCUGGAUCACAGGUGAGCUGUGAUAGCUGGAGACCCUCUCAUCCAGGCAUCUCAGCCUAGGAGAGACAGGUUCUGUUAAUAAGAUAAGUGUAUUCACUGCAUUACAGUCCUUUCUUCUAUCACUCUCCCGACAUUUCAUCAUGGUCAGGACUCUUCAAAUGCCAACCUAUACUUGAGGAAGCUUUGAUGGAUCGAGUUUCUGUUCUCAGAGACCCACCCCCCCACUUUAUCUACAGCUAUCGGCAAGCUAAUGCAACACUUGCCUGUCAAGACCCAGCCAUCAGACCUUUGCCAGAUUAGGAACUAAUGUGCUUUUUCUAGCUCCCUCUUUCACUCUCUCUCUCUCUCUCUCUCUCUCUCUCUCUCGAUCUCACUCUUUCUCUCUCACCUACACACAUACACUUUAAACUGCACUAACAGCUAAUAAAGAAGCGGAGUUGUGAGGUAGCAGGGAUGUUAUUGACUCCAGAGCAGAGUCUCUUUUCACUUAAAACACUGAUGCAGGAGGAGAGUUCAUCAGCAUAUCAACAUCACAGUCAUGCCAAAUCUGGACCAAUCAGAUAAUAGAAACAAAAAAAGGCUUCAGUUUUCAUAUUAAACAUUGUUAUGUUUCGUUUUCAAUGGAAUAGAUUUACUUAAAACUAGAACUAAAAUUAUUAUCUUAAUGAACCAUAUUUAGUGGUUUUUUUUAGAUGAAACCCAACAGCAUUGAUAAUUAAUUCAAUUGCUCAAAACUCUGAUGUUUUGUAUGUUUACCAGUUGACUUCCUACCCUUUGAGGUUGUCGUCAAAAUGAUUUAAAAUGGUGUGCAGCCGUUUGAACAGUGUGUAAUCCUUGAUAAUAAGCUAAAGUGUAGACCUAAUGAGCCUCCAUAUAUAUUUUUGAAAUAUCAUGUUUCUAAUACGAGCUAUUCCAUUUUCCACUAUUCUAACAGCAAACAAUUGAAAAGGUUUGUCUUGAUCAUUGUGCGUCACAGACAUUGCACAGCUUUGACCGACAAGCUCCUUUAUAUAAUUGGACAAAGUGAGUACAUUUAAUUCAGCCAAAGAUUUUUAAAAAACAGCCUAAUAGAUGCCACAGUGGACGCAUGUACGUGACUUAACUCCAAGGACUGGGAUUUUUCUGAGGGAAACUUUCUACAUCUAGGAAUGGCAUCACCAAUGAACAGGCGGAAAACUCUCCUACCUCAUAUCUGACAGUCAGUAACAGAGUCAAACGCUCCACACCAGAGCCUCGUUUCCAAGGCAAACACUUGCUAAUUAAACACUGAUGUGGGUCUUGACAUUAAAACUGUACUGCCCCAUCUCUAGAUUCCAUAAAAGCCCAUUUGUGGCAGGAGUGCUGUAGAACAGCCCACCUGUCUUACAUGCCAAAGGGUGUUUCACUUCCCUAGAGAAAUAUUUUAUGGGCCAGUGUUGAAUUUUAAUUAACAUCUUUGGUGCCUUUACAUGGUAACUACAUGAAUGCAGGAGUGAUUUCUAAGCAGUUUCAUAGUGUGCCUUACUGUAAAACAGGGUAUGGAAAUUACAGGCAGGCCAUUCACAGAACCAAUAAAUCAUCUUACAAUUUAUCAGUAGUGAUAUCAGACCUCAUAAUUCAUGCUCAUAUUUGAAGCAGGCAUGCUGUGUCUAAACAGUGCAGUUAAGAUGUGAUGAAGUACACAAAUGCAUAAGUAAAAUUAGAAUUACCUUAAUCUAAUAUUACUCAUUUAAAGAUGGAAGCCCUUCAUCCAAUAAUUCAUUAGUCCUAGGCUAAGAUAUACAUUCUACAGUAUACCUAUAUACAAUAGACCUGUUGAAUCUGAGCGCGAAUUAUAUAUGGCCUAUGGCACAAAAA